GAUGAUGCUUUUAUCAAUCGAUCAUGAAGGCUCUGAUGGAAACGCUUCUUAUAUGUGUUACGCCUUCAGGGGUUUUAUUCCUCUGACUCUAUAGUACAGCAUCUUCACUCGUUUUGAUGAUGAUGAUGGCUUUGAUGGACACGAACUAGUCUCUGGUUUUGGAUUAUUUCAGGUAUUGGAUGAUGCUUUGAUCGAUCAGUGAUGGCUUUGAUGGACACGCUUCUUCUGUGUGCUACGUCUUAAUGGAUCGAGGAGGCACUUGGAUUACUGACUGUGUGGGAGGUUCAAAUAGAAAACAUUGUGGGAGUUUAACUUUGAGGUUUAACAUUCUGAUUUCUGCUCAGUUUAACUUUCAGAUCGUGGAUAUCUUCUCGUCUAUCAUCUGUUUAGAGUAUAUGGAAAAACACUUGUGCUGAAUUAUUGUAGCUGAGCACUUGGGCGUUUAACUUUCAAGUUUAACAUUAUGAUCUCUGCUGAGUUUAAUACCGUAAUAUUGGCUAUUUUUGAUACUCUGUUUCUUGUGUGCUCCCAGAUGUUCUUGCCGUGUACACACACAUUCAGAUGAGAGAUGCUCCACAAAUUCUUUCCUCGAGGCAAUGGUAUUACUGUACAGGAGGUGGUGUGUUGGAAGUGAAUCAUGGAGGCUCCACCCGUUUCUGAACUGUCACACCUCCUCGGCUCUUCCUACGAUCGUCGUCACAGUCCAGGCACUAGGAUUGCUUUAUUGAAUUGAAAUUUAUCUUCUCGUCUAGAAUCAGAUUCUAUGAUGAUGGAUGAUGCUAUGGUCGAUAUCGCUGAUUUGCUUCUUUGGCUUAUUAGGGUCUCUGCUACUAAGUAUGGGCUCCUCUGAUGCACAAGACUGGUCAUGUGGUUUAUUUCAGAUCCUCGAGGCACCUGGAUUACUCUAUGUUCUUGAUGUGUACACACACAUUCAGAUGAGCUAUGCUCCACAAAUUCUUUCCUAGAUAAGUAAUUGUUCUUAAAAUUUGUCCUUUUUAACUUGUUUAAUUUUGUUGGUACGCUUAAAACUGAAAUUUGUAUCUCCCUCUUGGAUGCAGUUCGUGGAUAUCUUCUCUCGUCUAUCAUCUGUUUAAAGAUUCUUUUUUUUGUUGUUGCAGUAUAUGGAAAAACACUUAUGCUGGAUUAUUGUAGCUGGACUUGAUGGAGAUGUGAUCAGCUGUACUUGAUGGAGCUAAACAAGCUUUGUUGGAGAUGGUUAUAUUACCGGCAAAACGAAGAGAUUUGUUCACUGGUAUCCGGAGACCAGAGAGAGGUAGGUGAGGGUGAAUAGCUAGUUUCUCUGGUGAAUAGCUAGUUUCUCUGGUGAUUGUCAUUGGGCUUGUCUCGUGUCUGAUGCUAAUCCAUUUGGGUGAUCUGAUCUAUGUGUUAACCAGGGGGAACAAUCCAUCCGGUUAGAUGGCUUCAGAUGCAAGUUUUGUUGUAUAUUUCCUGUGUGAUCAUCUAGUUUUAAUUUGCGUCUCAAGCUCAUUUCAACUAACCUUCUUCAUAUGCAAGUUUGAUUAUUUUUUUGUGGUUCUUGUCACAGGUAAUUUGAACUUGUUUCACUUAACAUAUAUGAGAAAUUUUUAUAAUUAACUCUUAUUGUUUGAUGCAGUCUGCAGAUGCUAUGAUGCUAUGAUGCCAAAUUAAAUUACUCCCCGCUGCAGGGUUUGUUCUCAGGUGAUGAACUUGAUUGAUUGGGGAUGUUAAAGGCUAUAACUAAAUGGUACACGACAUGAUUGACUUAGCAGGUGCUAUUUGGGUCUGGAGCUUCAAGACUAAACGUUUUUCUGAUGGUGUGAUCUAUGUUCAGUUGCAAGAUAGUGCAAUGUGUUCCGUGUACAGCCUACAGGUAGCAUUUCGUUUCGUGUGGGUCAAACAAACCUUGGUGGUGAAACCCUAAUCCGCAGCAAGAUUAUAAGAUUUGAUCGGAGGAGGGAAGCAUCUCGUUUCGUGUGUGACAACAGUUACUGUUUUUCAAAACCAUAAAAUAUCUCUCUCUCUACGGAUUAGAGAGAACCGGAUAAAACCGGGUUGUUGGUUAUCGAACUAAACGAGAGAGACACGUACCGGUGGUUGGGAUAUAAUUACCAAACCGGGGCUUUGGGUUGGUCUCUUCCGCCGCCGCCGCGUUGCUAAACCACAACGGAAACAAUUAAAAGAAGAAAACAACAAGAUUCAUCAUCAUAUAUAUAAGUGUCAAUUGGGCUGUCCACUGUCCAAUGGGUGUGUUCAUAUGGGCGUUUCUAUAU